rnacentral:pre_miRNA from 1 species
GUUUUGGUGUAAGCAUGUCUAUGUAAUAUUUGGGACAUUCUUAUACUAAAA